AAGAACAGUUCAUUCCAAUCGAGAAUCUCCAGAGAUACUUUAAGUGUGUCUCAACUUGCUUUCCUAAAAGCUUCAGCUGCAAACACACGUCACAAAGAACACUGGCAAUCAACAAAUUAUCUGACACCUGAUCAAUCACUCAACUUCGACUGCCCUCUUAAAAGUUUGCAAUGACAUCCAAAUUGGCAUGGAACAAGGAGACUUAACUGGAGCCA